rnacentral:rRNA from 1 species
UACGUAGGGUGCGAGCGUUGUCCGGAAUUAUUGGGCGUAAAGGGCUCGUAGGCGGUUUGUCGCGUCGGGAGUGAAAACACACAGCUUAACUGUGUGCUUGCUUCCGAUACGGGCAGACUAGAGGUAUGCAGGGGAGAACGGAAUUCCUGGUGUAGCGGUGAAAUGCGCAGAUAUCAGGAGGAACACCGGUGGCGAAGGCGGUUCUCUGGGCAUUACCUGACGCUGAGGAGCGAAAGUGUGGGGAGCAAACAGG